AGAGUUUGAUCCUGGCUCAGGACGAACGCUGGCGGCACGCUUAACACAUGCAAGUCGAACGAGAGAAGAGGAGCUUGCUUUUCUGAUCUAGUGGCGGACGGGUGAGUAACACGUGAGCAAUCUGCCUUUCAGAGGGGGAUACCGAUUGGAAACGAUCGUUAAUACCGCAUAACAUAAUUGAACCGCAUGAUUUGAUUAUCAAAGAUUUAUCGCUGAAAGAUGAGCUCGCGUCUGAUUAGCUAGUUGGUAAGGUAACGGCUUACCAAGGCGACGAUCAGUAGCCGGACUGAGAGGUUGAUCGGCCACAUUGGGACUGAGACACGGCCCAGACUCCUACGGGAGGCAGCAGUGGGGAAUAUUGCACAAUGGAGGAAACUCUGAUGCAGCGAUGCCGCGUGAGGGAAGAAGGUUUUAGGAUUGUAAACCUCUGUCUUCAGGGACGAAAAAAGACGGUACCUGAGGAGGAAGCUCCGGCUAACUACGUGCCAGCAGCCGCGGUAAUACGUAGGGAGCGAGCGUUGUCCGGAAUUACUGGGUGUAAAGGGAGCGUAGGCGGGAUCGCAAGUCAGAUGUGAAAACUAUGGGCUUAACCCAUAAACUGCAUUUGAAACUGUGGUUCUUGAGUGAAGUAGAGGUAAGCGGAAUUCCUAGUGUAGCGGUGAAAUGCGUAGAUAUUAGGAGGAACAUCAGUGGCGAAGGCGGCUUACUGGGCUUUAACUGACGCUGAGGCUCGAAAGCGUGGGGAGCAAACAGGAUUAGAUACCCUGGUAGUCCACGCCGUAAACGAUGAUUACUAGGUGUGGGGGGACUGACCCCUUCCGUGCCGCAGCAAACGCAAUAAGUAAUCCACCUGGGGAGUACGACCGCAAGGUUGAAACUCAAAGGAAUUGACGGGGGCCCGCACAAGCAGUGGAGUAUGUGGAUUAAUUCGAAGCAACGCGAAGAACCUUACCAGGUCUUGACAUCGUAUGCAUAGCUCAGAGAUGAGUGAAAUCUCUUCGGAGACAUAUAGACAGGUGGUGCAUGGUUGUCGUCAGCUCGUGUCGUGAGAUGUUGGGUUAAGUCCCGCAACGAGCGCAACCCUUACUGUUAGUUGCUACGCAAGAGCACUCUAGCAGGACUGCCGUUGACAAAACGGAGGAAGGUGGGGAUGACGUCAAAUCAUCAUGCCCCUUAUGACCUGGGCCUCACACGUACUACAAUGGCUGUCAACAGAGGGAAGCAAAGCCGCGAGGUGGAGCGAACCCCUAAAAGCAGUCUUAGUUCGGAUUGUAGGCUGCAACCCGCCUACAUGAAGUCGGAAUUGCUAGUAAUCGCAGAUCAGCAUGCUGCGGUGAAUACGUUCCCGGGCCUUGUACACACCGCCCGUCACGCCACGGGAGUCGGUAACACCCGAAGCCUGUAGUCUAACCGCAAGGAGGACGCAGUCGAAGGUGGGAUUGAUGACUGGGGUGAAGUCGUAACAAGGUA
rnacentral:rRNA from 1 species